rnacentral:rRNA from 1 species
CCUACGGGUGGCAGCAGUAGGGAAUCUUUCACAAUGGACGAAAGUCUGACCGAGCAACGCCGCGUGAGUGAAGAAGGUUUUCGGAUCGUAAAACUCCGUUGGUAGAGAAGCACGAUGGUGAGCGUGGAAAGCUCAUCAAGUGACGGUAACUACCCAGAAAGGGACGGCUAAAUACGUGCCAGCAGCCGCGGUAAUACGUAGGUCCCGAGCGUUGUCCGGAUUUAUUGGGCGUAAAGCGAGCGCAGGUGGUUUAUUAAGUAUGGUGUAAAAGGCAGGGGCUCAACCAUGGUAUGCAUUUGAAACUGGUAGUCUUGAGUGGAGGAGAGGAGAGUGGAAUUCCAGGUGUAGCGGUGAAAUGCGUAGAUAUAGGGAAGAACACCGGUGGCGAAGGCGGCUCUCUGGCCUGUAACUGACACUGAGGCUCGAAAGCGUGGGGAGCGAACAGGAUUAGAUACCCUUGUAGUC